rnacentral:rRNA from 1 species
UACGUAGGGGGCUAGCGUUGUCCGGAUUUAUUGGGCGUAAAGGGCGCGUAGGUGGCUUGGCAAGUUGGGUGUGAAAGCCCAGGGCUCAACCCUGGAAUUGCAUUCAAGACUGCUUUGCUUGAAUUCGGUAGAGGUUGGUGGAAUUCCCAGUGUAGAGGUGAAAUUCGUAGAGAUUGGGAAGAACACCCGUGGCGAAGGCGGCCAACUGGACCGACAUUGACACUGAGGCGCGAAAGCGUGGGGAUCAAACAGG